AGUUUCUGAUGAUGAUGAAGACGCUGAUUGCUCGGUGUUGGAAGACGAUUGGAGUGAAGGCGAAUUGGAGGACGAAGUCAAUGAGGAUGAGUGUGCAAAGACGCUACUGAAGACUCCGAAACAGGUGGAGAGACAUUUUACGGCCGUUGGAGAAGGGCAGCUUUGGUACCAAGGAAUACAAAGCACUCUCCAACAAUAUUAUCGAUCUGUACCACCAGUCAUCAGAUUGAUAGAAGCUAAUAUCGCGGUAGAUGGACUAGUAUGCCCGGGAUAAGGCAAAAUGCAAGGAGGAAAUGCCUUAAGAACUAGAACAGAUUGUUGGUAUUUCACAUAUAAUUUUUACCCAUUAAAUUCAUAAACGUUUACUCCUACAUAGUUCAUAUCACAACUUGAAUCACAGCUCAUAUUCCAACUGUAUAAAUGCCUAAAUCAU